UGACCGCUUCGUUGGCCCAAUGGUUAGAACGUUCGUAUCGGAUGCGGGAGGUCGUGGGUUCGAACCCCGGCUGAGUCAU